UUUUAUUUUUAUACGACCGCAAAAAUUGAAAAUUUUUUGGUCGUAUAUUGGUAUGACGUCGUCUGGCGUCGUCCGAAGACACAUUGGUUUUCGCACUCUAACUUUAGUUUAAGUGAAUGGAUCUCCAUGAAAUUUUACCAUAAGGUUCAAUACCACGAAAGGAAGGUGGGGAUUGAUUUUGGGGGUUAUGGUACCAAUAGUUAAGGAAUUAGGGGCCAAAAAUAAGCAUUUUUGUAACUUCCAGACAAUAACUUGUGUGUAAGUGUAUGGAUCUCUCUGACAUUGUACCACAAGGUUCCAUAUCACAAAGGGAAGGCUGUAAUUGAUUUUGGGGGUAAUUGCCUCAAAAUUUUAGGAAUUAGGGGCCAAAAAAGGGGCAAAAAACAAGCAUUUUUCUAGUUUCAUGACAAUAACUUGUGUGUAAGUGUUUGGAUAUUUCUGAAAUUGUACUACAAGGUUCCAUAUCACAAAGGGAAAGCUGGAAUUGAGUUUGGGGGUAAUUGCCCGAAACGUUUAGGAAUUGGGGGCCAAAAAGGGGCCAAAAAUAAGCAUUUUUCUAGUUUCCAGACAAUAACUUGUGUUCAAGUGUAUGGAUCUCUCUGAAAUUGUACUGCAAGGUACCAUACCACAAAGGGAAGGCUGGGAUUGAGUUUGGGGGUGAUGAAUCAUAAGGGGGUUCAAAAAAUUUGGGGGGGGGGAUUUUUUUUUUUUCUUUUUUUUUCUUUUUUUCCUUAUUUUUUUUUCUUUUAAAAUUUUCCAUUUUAAGUUGGUUAUUUCUGAUUAAUAUUUAAAAGCAAAUAAUAAUGAUAUGGUAGGAGAUACACACCAAACAGGAUGUGUAAAUUAUUAUAUAAUAAGUAUUGUGCAAUAGCAAGAAAUUUUCAAUUGCACAGUAUUGCACAAUUGCAAGAAAUCUUCAACUGCACAGUAUUGCGCAAUAGCAAGAAAUCUUCAAUUGCACAGUAUUGUGCAAUAGCAAGAAAUAUCCAAUAGCACAAUAUUGCGCAAUAGCAAGAAAUUGUCAAUUGUACAGUAUUGCACAAUAGCAAGAAAUAUUCAAUUGCACAGUAUUGUGCAAAAGAAGAUACUUCGUAUAAAUUGCUUAUUUCUUGAUCAAUUUCAAUGGGGUUUUAUUCUUGAAUUCUUGGGGUUCUUUAAUAUGCUGAAUCUAACCGUGUAUUAAGUUUUUGGAUUUUGGGCCCCGUUUUUAAAUUGGUCCACAUUGAGGUCCAAAGGGUCCAAAAUUUAACUUUGUUUGAUUUCAUCAAAAAUUGAAUUAUUGGGGUUCUUUGAUAUGCCGAAUCUAACCGUGUAUUUAGAUUCUUAAUUUUUGGUUCCGUUUUCAAAUUGGUCUACAUUAAGGCCCAAAGGGUCCAAAAUUAAACUUAGUUUGAUUUUAACAAAAAUUGAAUUCUUGGGGUACUUUGAUAUGCUGAAUCUAAACAUGUGUUUAGAUUUUUGAUUAUGGGACCAGUUUUCAAGUUUGUCCAGGUUGGGGUCCAAAAUUAAACUUUGUUUGAUUUCAACAAAAAUUGAAUAUAUGGGGUUCUUUGAUAUGCUGAAUCUAACCAUGUAUUUUGAUUUUGGACAUUGGACCAUAAUAGGUAAAUUAAAAAAAUUGAAGUUCUUA